rnacentral:rRNA from 1 species
UACCAGCACCCCGAGUGGUCGGGACGAUUAUUGGGCCUAAAGCAUCCGUAGCCGGUUUUACAAGUCCUCCGUUAAAUCCAGCUGCUUAACAGAUGGCUGCGGAGGAUACUAUAAGACUAGGAGGCAGGAGAGGCAAAGCGGUACUCAGUGGGUAGGGGUAAAAUCCGUUGAUCCAUUGAAGACCACCAGUGGCGAAGGCGGCUUGCCAGAAUGCGCUCGACGGUGAGGGAUGAAAGCUGGGAGCAACCGGG